rnacentral:misc_RNA from 1 species
UCCGAGUUGACCCCGGCAGUCUCCUACGAGUCCCCGGCAUUAUCCGCUGGCAACUAAGGACAGGGGUUGCGCCCGUUGCGCCACUUAAGGCAACACCUCACGGCACGAGCUGACGACAGCCAUGCAGCACCUGUACGGGCUCCCGAAGGAGGACCGGCUUUCACCGGCUUCACCCCGCAUGUCAAGCCCUGGUAAGGUUCUUCGCGUCGCGUCGAAUUAAGCCACAUGCUCCGCCGCUUGUGCGGGCCCCCGUCAAUUCCUUUGAGUUUCAAUCUUGCGAUCGUACUCCCCAGGCGGUGCGCUUAACACGUUGGCUCCGACACCGAAGGGCAAGCCCCCCGACGUCUAGCGCACAUCGUUUAGGGCGUGGACUAC